AGACCUCUCUGGUUGGUUCAUUGUCUGCUUAAAUAGUUGUGGUGAUUAGUGUUGUUUUUUUCGCGGGUCGGGUUGAAAAAGUGGUGGGAGUUCCCCGAGUUACUGGGUUCACUUAAUUAAACCCGCGAACCCGACCCGGGUUUUUAGGGGCGCCUAGGAGCGCCUAUAGCGGGUGACAUGCCUCAAUUACUUAACUAGGUUUAGUUAAGUCUCUAUAAGCCUGCGCAUGGGCAUUCUUUCGCGGGUCGGCUCGACAGUAAUGACGGGGUUCACAACCCUAGUGGUGAUGUGGCAUCAGCAAGCAUUAGAGAUGGUAACAAUAAUGAACUAAAAUUCAUUCUUAAUAAGAGCCUUGAUCAUUAUUUGUGUUGAAUGUACUGUAUAUAUAAAAAAUUAGUUGGG
rnacentral:sRNA from 1 species